UACGUAGGGGGCAAGCGUUGUCCGGAAUCAUUGGGCGUAAAGAGCGUGUAGGCGGCUCGGUAAGUCCGUUCUGAAAGCCCGGGGCUCAACCCCGGGAGGCGGGUGGAUACUGUCAAGCUCGAGUCCGGAAGAGGAGUGUGGAAUUCCUGGUGUAGCGGUGAAAUGCGCAGAUAUCAGGAGGAACACCAAUGGCGAAGGCAGCACUCUGGGACGUGACUGACGCUGAGACGCGAAGGCGUGGGGAGCAAACAGG
rnacentral:rRNA from 1 species